rnacentral:pre_miRNA from 1 species
GACGGUGAGACUUCUGCAAAGCCGUGUCAUUUGCAAAUAACAGGUUUUGCAAAGUAUCACAGCCUGU